rnacentral:tRNA from 1 species
GGCAACAUGACCGAGUGGUUAAGGUGUCAGAUUCGAAUUAAUGUCUUAUCUGAUCCUCUUUGAGGGCGCAGGUUCAAAUCCUGCUGUUGUCG